rnacentral:rRNA from 1 species
CAGUAGCCGCGGUAAUACAGAGGGUGCGAGCGUUAAUCGGAUUUACUGGGCGUAAAGCGCACGUAGGCGGCUUGGUAAGUUAGAGGUGAAAGCCCGGAGCUCAACUCCGGAAUUGCCUUUAAGACUGCCGAGCUAGCAGGUGAGAGAGGUAAGUGGAAUUCCGAGUGUAGAGGUGAAAUUCGUAGAUAUUCGGAAGAACACCAGUGGCGAAGGCGGCUUACUGGCUCAUACUGGACGCUGAGGUGCGAAAGCGUGGGGAGCAAACAGGAUUAGAUACCCCUGUAGUCCCUGUCUCUUAUAA